rnacentral:tRNA from 1 species
GGAGUUGUGGCUUAGUGGUAGAGCACUUUCCUGGUAUGUGUGAGGCCCUAGGUUCGAUCCUCAGCACCA